AUGAACGCUGGCGGCGUGCCUAAUACCUGCAAGUCGAGCGAACAGACGAGGAGCUUGCUCCUCUGACGUUAGCGGCGGACGGGUGAGUAACACGUGGAUAACCUACCUAUAAGACUGGGAUAACUUCGGGAAACCGGAGCUAAUACCGGAUAAUAUAUUGAACCGCAUGGUUCAAUAGUGAAAGACGGGUUUGCUGUCACUUAUAGAUGGAUCCGCGCCGCAUUAGCUAGUUGGUAAGGUAACGGCUUACCAAGGCAACGAUGCGUAGCCGACCUGAGAGGGUGAUCGGCCACACUGGAACUGAGACACGGUCCAGACUCCUACGGGAGGCAGCAGUAGGGAAUCUUCCGCAAUGGGCGAAAGCCUGACGGAGCAACGCCGCGUGAGUGAUGAAGGUCUUCGGAUCGUAAAACUCUGUUAUUAGGGAAGAACAAAUGUGUAAGUAACUAUGCACGUCUUGACGGUACCUAAUCAGAAAGCCACGGCUAACUACGUG
rnacentral:rRNA from 1 species